GACGUAGGGUGCAAGCGUUGUCCGGAUUUAUUGGGCGUAAAGAGCUCGUAGGCGGCUCAUUGCGUCAACCGUGAAAACCAGCAGCUCAACUGUUGGCUUGCGGUUGAUACGGGUGGGCUGGAGUUCGGUAGGGGAGACUGGAAUUCCUGGUGUAGCGGUGAAAUGCGCAGAUAUCAGGAGGAACACCGGUGGCGAAGGCGGGUCUCUGGGCCGAUACUGACGCUGAGGAGCGAAAGCGUGAGGAGCGAACAGG
rnacentral:rRNA from 1 species